rnacentral:rRNA from 1 species
AAUCAACGCUGGCGGCGUGCCUAACACAUGCAAGUCGAACGCGAAAGGGGCUUCGGCCCUGAGUAGAGUGGCGAACGGGUGAGUAACACGUGGGUGAUCUACAUCUGAGUGGGGGAUAACCUUCCGAAAGGAGGGCUAAUACCGCAUGACGUUCUGGGUUUGAAGACCCGGAAACCAAAGCUGGGGACCGCAAGGCCUGGCGCUUGGGGAGGAGCCCGCGCCUGAUUAGCUAGUUGGUGAGGUAAUGGCUCACCAAGGCGACGAGCAGUAGCCGGCCUGAGAGGGCGGACGGCAACACUGGGACUGAGACACGGCCCAGACUCCUACGGGAGGCAGCAGUGGGGAAUUUUGGACAAUGGGCGCAAGCCUGAUCCAGCAAUGCCGCGUGCAGGAAGAAGGCCUUCGGGUUGUAAACUGCUUUUGUACGGAACGAAACGGCCCUCUCUAAUACAGAGGGCUAAUGACGGUACCGUAAGAAUAAGCACCGGCUAACUACGUGCCAGCCGCCGCGGUAA